UUUAUCUUUCUCUUCCUGCCACAUAACUUAUCUAUAAAAUUGGAACGAUAUAGAGAAGAUUAUCAUGGCCCCUGCGCAAGGAUGACACGCACAAGGGUUAUAUCAUAUCAUUCUCU
rnacentral:snRNA from 1 species